rnacentral:rRNA from 1 species
UACCAGCACCCCGAGUGGUCGGGACGUUUAUUGGGCCUAAAGCAUCCGUAGCCGGUUCUACAAGUCUUCCGUUAAAUCCAGCUGCUUAACAGAUGGGCUGCGGAAGAUACUAUGGAGCUAGGAGGCGGGAGAGGCAAGCAGGUGAUACUCGAUGGGUAGGGGUAAAAUCCGUUGAUCCAUUGAAGACCACCAGUGGCGAAGGCGGCUUGCCAGAACGCGCUCGACGGUGAGGGAUGAAAGCUGGGGGAGCAAACCGG